rnacentral:lncRNA from 1 species
AUUCUAUGAUGAACUUGAGAAAGGAGUCAUAGAAUUUAGUUUGAGGCUCUUCUCUCACAACUCUCUUGAUUGAUAAUUCUUAGCUUGAUAUGUGAGAUGUAAUCACUUUGAAUUGAAAUCUUGAGGGUUGUGUGGCUCUAAAUUAGAGACCAUUCUUCAUCUCUUCUCAUGAGCAAUUAGAUCAAGAGAUUGGCAAUUGAUCAAGUUAAGAGAAAUCAAAUCACCAAGAGAUUGGGGUUUGAUUACUUAAGAUUUGCCAAGAGAUCAAUGAUUGCAUGAUUGAAGUGGAGAUGAGAAUUGUUGAUCUUGAGAAUGCAAUAUCUCUUGAUCCCAAAGUUAAUUUCAUUCUUAAUUCUUGUUAUUUACUUCUUGUCUUUAAUUCUUGUCAUUUAAUUGUUCUCUUUAAAUUCUUGUCAUUUACUUAUGCACA